rnacentral:tRNA from 1 species
GGUUUGUGGCUCAGUGGUAGAGUACUUGCUUCAUAUGUGUGAGGCAAUGGGUUCGAUUCUCAGCACCG